GACCCUUUGGAGACAUCCAAUAAAAUUGGAACGACAGAGAGAAGAUUAUCUUGUCCUUUGCGCAAAGAUGACAUAUGCAAAUCAAGAAAUGGUCCAAAUUUUA